rnacentral:lncRNA from 1 species
CUGGAACAAAAGCUGUCAGUGCCUCUUUACACCACUUGCAGAAACACAAGAGACCACUGGGAAAUUGUCUCCCAACAGUAAGGAGGAGAGAGAGAGUCAAUUCAUGGUUUGGCCUUUUUUAAAAAGAGAAAUGGUUUUCUAAGUUUCUUGUUGGUGGAGACCCCAUAACCCUGACUUCAGAAGUAGACUUCAGAAUAGUGGUAAAACCUGAUACAUCAGUCCUGGAGUAUUGGAUGAUGCCAUUCUCAAAGAAGAAGUGGAGGAAGAAGAGGAAGAGGAGAAAAAAGAGAAGAGGAAGACGUAUAAAUAUGAAUGCCCAUUCAAAGUAAAAAGAUGCUCAAUCUUUCUAACAAGGCUCUGCAAGGUAGCAAAUCAUUGUAGCACUGAGUCACAGAGACUGUAUUCUUGAAGUCCUGGCAGAGGCAAAUUUCUCAUUAACAUUGAUCUGAGAGACAUCUGCGAUGAGCCUGUACAACGAGCCGACCUGCCGAGCUGACCCGAAGCUGAUGAGUGGUUCCGAAGGGAGGCAGGCUGGGAAUGAAGACACCACAGUGAAAUGAGCCCAUCUCUGUUUUCAGAACAUGACUUCGUAACUCCAGACUUAUAUGUUGAAUUUCUUGAGGCUUAAAUGUAUAAGCUCUUCCACUAUAUCGUCCUCUACAAUUUGAAAGUGCAUUUGGGCAGCUCCAGAACUGAGAGAUGACCCAGAGGAAACAAGUCCUGAGCUCAAGUCCUCAGCAAGCGACAGCCAC